GUGGCGAAUAAAAACCGCCAGUAUAAAGUAUACAAUAUGUUACACAAAUAAGAAAAAACCAAAAAAAAAAACAAAAAAAAACAAAACAAAUAAACCCAAAACAUAAACAUAUGCUAAAACAAUAUUUUAAAGGUGUGGGAGGGUGGGUUAACAGAAUUGGCUUUUUCUCUUGAAAUCACAAAAUGGCGUCUAGCAGCUUCCAAAACGAAAUUGUAAAAGACCAAGUGUCCCCUCACAUGCAAUGGUGCUAUCAUGUGCGGUUUCCUGAUUGGUCACUCUAAUUAUAAUUAGCCAAUAGCAACUAAUAUAUACCGAGAUCAUGAGAUGACCAUGUUGACCUUGACUGCAUUUGAUUAAGACUUGCAUAAUACAUAGACAGUGGCUAUGGAAAGUUCCCAGUUUCAUAUUACGAUAUUGAUAAGGGG
rnacentral:lncRNA from 1 species